CGGCGGACGGGUGAGUAAUACUUAGGAAUCUGCCCAUUAGUGGGGGACAACUAGAAGAAAUUCUAGCUAAUACCGCAUACGCCCUACGGGGGAAAGCGGGGGAUCUUCGGACCUCGCGCUAAUGGAUGAGCCUAAGUCGGAUUAGCUUGUUGGUGAGGUAAAGGCUCACCAAGGCGACGAUCCGUAGCUGGUCUGAGAGGACGACCAGCCACACUGGGACUGAGACACGGCCCAG
rnacentral:rRNA from 1 species